CCAUGAGCCGCAUCAUGGACUGUGCCCUUGAUUCCAUGGACCGGUCGGUCGGUCCAUCAUGCAUCGAAGGUUAUUUAAAAUUGAUUUUUGGGUAUUUUUGCUUGAUUUUGCUUGGAUUUUAUGUUGAAAAAUAGAAAAAAAUAUAAAUUAAAUUAUUCAUUAGUUUUUCAAUUAUUUUGAUGCUUAAAUUGCUCAAUUAGCUUGAUGUCUAUUUUUCAUAAAUAUGCUCUAAUUUUAUAUUUUUAAAAUUAUUUAUUUUUAUGAGAAAAUCUAAUUUUUUUAUGAAAUUAAGUUUUUUAAAAGAUGUUAGCACCAUUA
rnacentral:lncRNA from 1 species